rnacentral:lncRNA from 1 species
CCUUAAUAUAAUAUGUUUCUCUCAUACAUUAGAGAAGUGGAGCUAACUUGUGAAAGCUUAUUCUUUGCUAUUUCAAGGGAUGUAAUUGAAUUACUCAACAUGUUAUUAUUAUUUGUAUUUUGAUUUAUAUGACCAUUUUAGCGUAGCAUUUUCUCUUCUAACAUUUCGAGACACACCUGAAGACCUAUAUCCAUGUCCAAAAAUUUCAUAGCAUCCCAACACUUGAAAUUGACAAGCAAAAUAUUUAAACUAAUCUCCAAUAGAAAUAGUAAUUAAUAAUAUAAGAUAGAAUAAAAAUAUCAAGUCUACAAAAAAAAAUUCGACAUUAUUACAAGUCUAAAAAAUACAAAGUACCACA